GACGAACGCUGGCGGCGUGCCUAAUACAUGCAAGUCGAACGCAGUGGGGACGGGUGAGUAAAACGUGGGUAACCUCCCAUCAGAGGGGAUAACACUUGGAAACAGGUGCUAAACCGAUACUGAUGGAUGGACCAGCGGUGCAUUAGCUAGUUGGUGAGGUAACGGCUAACCAAGGCUACGAUGCAUAGCCGGCCUGCGAGGUUGAUCAGCCAAGCUGGGACUGAGACACGGCCCAGACUCCUACGGGAGGCAGCAGUAGGGAAUAUUCUGCAAUGGGCGAAAUGCUGACCGAGCAACGCCGCGUGAGUGAAGAAGGUUUUCGGAUCGUAAAACUCUGUUAUUAGAGAAGCGGUAUCUACCCAGAAAGCCACGGCUAACUACGUGCCAGCAGCCGCGGUAAUUC
rnacentral:rRNA from 1 species